AAAGGGAGACCUAAUUCAGGUAGGAGACGAAAAAAAAGUAGUCGCUACCAAGAAUCAAUCCCAAAAGGUCGGAGCGAGGCGAAGUUGGCUUUCAAACUAGGUUCUGGGUUCAAACAAGACCUGAAUCAGGAACAAGGGCUAUUAGCUCAGGUGGUUAGAGCGCACCCCUGAUAAGGGUGAGGUCCCUGGUUCGAGUCCAGGAUGGCCCACCUGCACAGGUGGCAAAAACAAGAGAAGCGGGGAAUCAGCACCUUAUCUUACUUAUAUAGUAAGAGAGAAUGCUGGCUCUGAGUAAAGAGUCCAGAGGAACCUUGAAAACUGCAUAGAGCUAGGUGAAAAAGCCAAAAAAGAAGACCGCAAG
rnacentral:tRNA from 1 species